rnacentral:rRNA from 1 species
AGAGUUUGAUCCUGGCUCAGAACGAACGCUGGCGGCAGGCUUAACACAUGCAAGUCGAACGGUUGUAGCAAUACAGCAGUGGCAGACGGGUGAGUAACACGUGGGAACCUUCCUCGGGGUACGGAACAACUCAGGGAAACUUGAGCUAAUACCGUAUACGUCCGUGAGGAGAAAGAUUUAUCGCCCUGAGACGGGCCCGCGUCGGAUUAGCUAGUUGGUGGGGUAACGGCCUACCAAGGCGACGAUCCGUAGCUGAUCUUAGAGGAUGAUCAGCCACACUGGGACUGAGACACGGCCCAGACUCCUACGGGAGGCAGCAGUGGGGAAUCUUGGACAAUGGGCGCAAGCCUGAUCCAGCCAUGCCGCGUGAGUGAAGAAGGUCUUCGGAUUGUAAAGCUCUUUUGCCAGGGACGAUAAUGACGGUACCUGGAGAAUAAGCCCCGGCAAACUUCGUGCCAGCAGCCGCGGUAAUACGAAGGGGGCUAGCGUUGUUCGGAAUUACUGGGCGUAAAGCGCACGUAGGCGGGUCGUUAAGUCAGGGGUGAAAUCCCGGAG